rnacentral:rRNA from 1 species
AAAUUGAAGAGUUUGAUCAUGGCUCAGAUUGAACGCUGGCGGCAGGCCUAACACAUGCAAGUCGAACGGUAACAGGAAACAGCUUGCUGUUUCGCUGACGAGUGGCGGACGGGUGAGUAAUAUCUGGGAAACUGCCUGAUGGAGGGGGAUAACUACUGGAAACGGUAGCUAAUACCGCAUAACGUCGCAAGACCAAAGAGGGGGACCCUCGGGCCUCUUGCCAUCGGAUGUGCCCAGAUGGGAUUAGCUUGUUGGUGGGGUAACGGCUCACC